CCGGAGCUCGCGAUGGGCGCCGGCCCGGCCGAGGGCAGCGGCUGUGGGGCGAGGAGGGGGCUUUUUUCCUUUGAAGGGAGCGAGAAGCCCCCUCGGGCGCUUGGGCGGGCGCGGCCUGGCGCGCAGAGCGGGGGAGGGGCGGGCCAGGGCGGCGGAGGUGGCGCAACCGCCGCCCCUCCCGAGGCCAAGUUUGAAAAAAGGACGCGGUUCCCGCCAUUUUUCAAGCCUAAAAAUAAAACUUUCUCUCUUGUUUCCUCGCUCCCUCUUUGCCCUCGGCCUUGCCCACUCCGACCUCCCAGAGGCAGCCCGGGUCGACCGGGGCCAACCGUUGUGGCGACGGCUUCGCCCUUCCCCCUGCGCCGCGGCGGCGGAGCCCGGGGCCCCUGCCCCGGGAGGAUGGCCCCUCCGUGUGGGCGGGCGGCGGCUCCUCACGCCAGCCGGGGCGCGCCACAGGCCGCCGCAGCGCCAUGUUGGCGGGUGCCCGUCUCCCUCCGCCUGGUUCGAGAACUUGUCUUGGACAAUUGCAAAUCAAAUGAUGGAAAAAUUGAGGGCUUAACAGCUGAAUUUGUGAACUUAGAGUUCCUCAGUUUAAUAAAUGUAGGCUUGAUCUCAGUUUCAAAUCUCCCCAAGCUGCCUAAAUUGAAAAAGCUUGAACUCAGUGAAAAUAGAAUCUUUGGAGGUCUGGACAUGUUAGCUGAAAAACUUCCAAAUCUCACACAUCUAAACUUAAGUGGAAAUAAACUGAAAGAUAUCAGCACCUUGGAACCUUUGAAAAAGUUAGAAUGUCUGAAAAGCCUGGACCUCUUUAACUGUGAGGUUACUAACCUGAAUGACUACCGAGAGAGUGUCUUCAAGCUCCUGCCCCAGCUUACCUACUUGGAUGGCUAUGACCGAGAGGACCAGGAAGCACCUGACUCAGAUGCCGAGGUGGAUGGUGUGGAUGAAGAGGAGGAAGAUGAAGAUGGAGCGGCUGCCAUGACUGGACGGCUUUCUGGUUUACUACUCGAGUCAAAGAGGUCACUUCUGGAUAAGGAGAAGAUGAGGAAGAUGAGGAGGAUGAGGAUGGUGAAGAAGAGGAGUUUGAUGAAGAAGAUGAUGAAGAUGAAGAUGUAGAAGGGGAUGAGGAUGACGAUGAAGUCAGUGAGGAGGAAGAAGAAUUUGGACUUGAUGAAGAAGAUGAAGAUGAGGAUGAAGAUGAAGAGGAGGAAGAAGGCGGGAAAGGUGAAAAGAGGAAGAGAGAAACAGAUGAUGAAGGAGAUGAUGAUUAAGACCCCAGAUGACCUGCAGAAACAGAACUGUUCAGUAUUGGUUGGACUGCUCAUGGAUUUGGUAGCUGUUUAAAAAAAAAAAAAAAAAAGGUAGCUGUGAUACAAACCCCAGGACACCCACCCACCCAAAGAGCCAAAGAAUAGUUCCUGUGACAUUCCGACUUCCUUCCAUGUAGUCCCUCUUGGGUAAUCUACCACCAAGUUUGUGGACUUCACCCCAACAAAAUUGUAAGCGUUGUUAGGUUUUUGUGUAAGACUCUUGCUAUAGCGUGGAUAGCUGUGAUUGGUGAGUCUACCGUCUGUGGCUACCAGUUACACUGAGAUUGUAACAGCAUUUUUACUUUCUGUACAACAAAAAAGCUUUGUAAAUAAAAUCUUAACAUUUUGGGUC